rnacentral:rRNA from 1 species
CCGUUCCUUGCUUACGGCGAGUGACCAGGGAAAAGCCCAGCACCGAAGACUGUGGGCAGUUGUCCACUAGUCGAUGUGGUGUUCUUGUUGUUCCGGCGGCGUCGCUGCUCCCCCUACUCCAUGAAUGAGAAUGCGCAUGAACAUGGACCGCACACGGUGAAAGGCCCGCGGGGGUGGAGAUCCUGCAGGCCAGUGACGCCCUGCACAAACCUUGAAUGCGGGUUGGUUGUGAUUGCAACCCAAAGUGGGUGGUAAACUCCAUCCAAGGCUAAAUACUACCACGAGUCCGAUAGCAAACAAGUACCGUGAGGGAAAGUUGAAAAGUACUUUGAAGAGAGAGUAAACAGCGCGUGAUACCGGCCAGAGGUAAACGGGUGGAGUUGAACUGCAAGCUCUGGGAAUUCAGCUGGUGAAUAUGGUUUGAGCUUGGUCAAGUCAGUCGGACUCGGUAGCUUGUGAGGCACUUAGCAGGUGCUAUCGGCUGCCGGUGGUCUUCGGGCUGAUUCGCCAGUGCACUUUCUCAGAACGGUCACCACAACCGGCAUUGCUGCCUGUCUGAUGGGGUUGAACCGGUUUUGCAUUGUCCCUGUGGCUUUGUGCCAUCGGGAUGGCAGGCACCUCGUGGACUUGCUUUUGGGUCGCUGUGACCUUGGUCUUCGAGUGUAAUCAGCUGACCCCAUUGGUUUGUGCAGCAUGUCAGAGACCGCGGCUAGUGCACGUGAGAGCAUAGUUGGUGGCGUGUCCGGGUUUGGUUGUUACGUUGCCUGUGUAUGCAGGCCUGAUCAUGGCUCGGAUUCGCUUGGCUGACUGUUCCGCACGGAUACAAAACGGGGCCGAUAGUUUGUGUCGGUAGAGGUAACUAUCCACCUAGACCCGCCUUGAGCACGGACCAACGAGAGCAACAUAGUCCGCCAGUCAUUGCGUAAUACCAAACCCAAGGCCGUAGCGGAAGUAACGGUUUGGCUCGUCCAAACUCCGGUGAGAUCUGGUCUUAUCCUUCUGGUUCUACAGAUCUUCUAACCGAAAGGGUGAUCACUGUCUCUUCCUAUUGUCGGUGUUUCUUUAACAUUACCCCCGCUAAGCGCGACCACCACGGUCCCGUCA